UACGUAGGGUCCGAGCGUUGUCCGGAAUUAUUGGGCGUAAAGAGCUCGUAGGCGGUUUGUCGCGUCUGCUGUGAAAUCCCGAGGCUCAACCUCGGGUCUGCAGUGGGUACGGGCAGACUGGAGUGCGGUAGGGGAGAAUGGAAUUCCUGGUGUAGCGGUGGAAUGCGCAGAUAUCAGGAGGAACACCGGUGGCGAAGGCGGGUCUCUAGGCCGACACUGACGCUGAGGAGCGAAAGCGUGGGGAGCGAACAGG
rnacentral:rRNA from 1 species